UACGUAGGUGACAAGCGUUGUCCGGAUUUACUGGGCGUAAAGAGCGCGCAGGCGGUCGUUCAAGUCGAGUGUGAAAGCCCCCGGCUCAACUGGGGAGGGUCACUCGAUACUGAUCGACUCGAAGGCAGGAGAGGGAAGCGGAAUUCCCGGUGUAGUGGUGAAAUGCGUAGAUAUCGGGAGGAACACCAGUGGCGAAGGCGGCUUUCUGGCCUGUUCUUGACGCUGAGGCGCGAAAGCUAGGGUAGCAAACGGG
rnacentral:rRNA from 1 species